GACAGGGAUUAAAGAACAUGCCUAUUAGCAUUGCUAUACAUGUAUAAAUGCUUUAACAUGCUUAUAUGCAUCGUUAAUUGCUUAUGAAUGCCAAAAAUGCUUAUUAACAUUGUUGUUUGAUGAUGAAUAUCAGGAAGUGCUUAUUAGCACCAUGAUUGAAUGUAUUAUGUGUUGGCAUGCUUAUUAGCAUUGCAUUUUUUUGUUUGUUCGGUCUUGGACCGUUAGGUAGAAAAAGGUAUAGUUAUUACAUACCUAACGACCAAUUUGAUCGCUGCAGAGUGGGAUAGUUAUUAGUAUGCUUCCUCGAAGGUCAGAGAGGUUGGCUGGCCAAGAGAUACGGGCCAGGGAAGAGAAUGACCAGGGCCAAGCCCCACCACCAGCUCCAGAAAACUGGUAAUAGGUGCUUGUUGAUAUGCAAGCUAGGUUACAGAGGUUGGAAGAGGAGAUUCGCAUCUUGAGACAACAACAGGUUCUAGCAGGGAACCUACCGCCCACAGUACCAGCAGUGAUACAGUCAGAGGUACCAAUGACAAUACAACCCCAGGCAUGGGUAGAUAAAUGGGAACCUAUGUAUGAGAGGUUCAGAAAACAACACCGUCUAAUUUUGAGGGUAUCUCAAAUCCACUGAAGGCAAAGCAAUGGAUGACUAUGAUAACCACCAUCUUGGAUUUCAUGAGGGUAGUGGUAAUGAGAGAGUGGUAUGUGCCACUUACAUGUUUCGGGAGGAUGUCCGAAUAUGGUACGAAGUGGUAUCCUAGACCAGGGCAAUGAAUAUUAUGGAAUGGGAGGAAUUUAGAACUAUGUUCAAUGAAAAAUACUACAAUGAAGUAGUUAAAGUUGCGAAGGCUGAAGAGUUCAGUAAGUUACUUCAGGGCAAUAUGUCAAUGACUAAUUAUUCCCUAAAGUUCGACAAAUUGGCAAAGUUUACCAGGGAUUUAGUGCCAACUAAUGGGACCAGAAGAGAGAGGUUUCUCCAAGGGCUACAACCUAUGAUAGACUGAGAUGUUUGUAUUACUACUGUGCUAGAAGUGACUACCUAUGCACAAGAUGUGGAGAAGGUGCUUACAACUAAGAGCGUAGAGAACAAGAUCUGGCGCGAGAAUGUGUCCAAAAAGGAUUCUAGGAGGCCAGGACCUCCAUUUGCAGGAUUUGGUAGGGGCGAAGGCCCUAGUGACCAAAAGAGAAAGACUCCAAAUACAGUUUUAGCUCGAGGUCUAGAUAGGACGCCACAGGGCAUACAGAUAGGCCAUUAGGGUGGCGGUGAGACUUGGAAAGCAUUCACAAAGUGUACUAGGUGCAGGAGGCACCAUAUUGGGGAAUCUCGGGCGAAGGCUUGCUUCAUCUGCGGGAGUGUGGGACACCUGAAGAAAGACUGCCCGAAAGCCAAAAAGGAAGAGCCCAAGAAGGUGGACAACCUUACGCCAGCUCGGGUGUUCACCUUGACCCAAGCAGAGGUCGAGGCUAGUCCCUCAGUGGUUACAGGUCAACUUUCUAGUGUUGGGACCCUUUAUACUGUUUUGAUUGACUCGGGUGCUACACACUCUUUUGUUGCUUGUAGGAUUAUAGAUGGAUUGUGUAAACCGUGUGACUUUUAUCCUGUAGGGUUUUGGUACUAUGCUGUGUAUUGGGGAGUUAGUGGUUUCCAGGAGAUGGGUUAGAUCAAAAUGGAUGCCUGGGAGUUGUUAGUUGACUUGGUAAAGUUGGUUAUGACUGAUUUUGAUAUAAUUCUAGAUAUGGACUGGUUAGAGAAGUAUAGGGCAACGAUAGAUUGCAAGAAUAGAUGGUAACCUUUGAGUCUGAGGGUGAAGACCCCUUUUUAUUCGUUGGCACUGUGCAUGGGCCUCGUGUACCUAUGAUAUCUGUACUUAGAGCUAGAGACCUAUUGUAGGGGGGAUGCAUAGGAUUCUUAGCUAGUGUGGUGGAUACCACUCAGGUCAUACUAGUGGGAUCAGGACAGACCAGAUUAGUCUGUGAGUUUCUAGAUAUGUUUCCAGAGGAUCUGCUAGGGUUACCUCCACACAGGGAGAUAGAGUUUAUGAUUGAACUGGCACCAAGGACAGAGCCAAUGUCUAGGGCACCUUAUAGGAUGGCUUUUGCAGAGCUGAAGGAACUAAAUGUUCAAUUAAAGAAGUUGCUAGAUUUGGGUUUUAUCAGGCCCAUUUUCUCGCCAUGGGGGGCCCUAGUCCUCUUCGUGAAAAAGAAAGAUGGUUCUUUGAGGAUGUGUAUCAAUUAUAGAGAACUGAACAAGUUGACUAUCAAGAACAUGUAUCUUCUACCAAUGAUUGAUGAUCUGUUUGAUCAGUUACAGGGUAGGACGGUAUGCUCCAUGAUAGAUCUUCAAAUUGGUUAUCACCAACUGAAGAUUAGGGAAGAGGAUAUAUCGAAGACAACUUUUUGUACUAGGUAUGGGCAUUAUGAGCUUUUGGUGAUGUCAUUUGGAGUGACUAAUGCCCAGCAACAUUUAUGGAUUUGAUGAAUAGGGUGUUCAAUGAUUACCUGGAUUGAUUUUCUUAUCGUAUUUAUCGACAAUAUAUUAGUAUACUCUCAGUCAGAGACAGAGUACGAGCAACAUCUCAGAUUAGUACUACAGAGGCUGAGAGAACACAGGUUGUAUGUGAAAUUCAAGAAGUGCGAGUCCUGGUUGCCAUAAAUGACUUUCUUGGGUCACAUAGUCAGCAAAUAUGAAAUUAUGGUGGAUCUAGCAAAGAUUGAGGCGGUCAGAGAUUGGCUAAGGCCGAAGAAUGCUUCAGAGUUCAGAAGUUUCUUGGGAUUGGCAAGUUAUUACAAACGCUUUGUGAAAGGGUUUUCCAAGAUUUCAUAACCACUGACAGAGUUGGCACGCAAGAAUCAGAGGUUCAUAUGGUCAGACAGGUGUGAGGAAAGUUUCCAGAGAAUGAAGAAGAAUUUGAUCACCACUCCAGUUCUAAGUCUUCCCACAUAUCAGGACAAGUUUGUGGUUUAUUGUGACGCCUCGAGGUAGGGCCUAGGUUGUGUCCUUCUGCAGACAGGGAAGGUGAUUGCCUAUGCAUCACGUCAGCUAAAGAAGUAUGAGUAGGGGUACCCCACACAUGAUGUGGAACUUGAAGCAGUGGUUUUUGCACUGAAAGUGAGGCGACGCUACUUAUAUGGUGAGAAGUGUGAGAUAUAAACUGACCACAAGAGCUUAAAGUACUUCUUUACACAAAAAUAUCUGAAUAUGAGGCAGAGGCAUUGGCUGGAGUUGGUGAAGGAUUAUGAUUGUGAAAUCCUCUAUCACCCAGGGAAAGCCAAUGUGGUAGCAGGUGCCUUAAGUCGGAAGGGUCCGGGAUAGUUGUAUAGUGCUAGGUAGAUUUCUAGGGAGUUGGCUAAGGAUAUGACUAAAGCAGGUAUUGAACUAGUGGUUGGCCAGUUAGCCAACAUCACCCUCUAAUCUACUCUUUUGGAGAGGAUCAGGGAGAACCAGUUGAGUGAUCCACAAUUGGGAAAGAUUAGAGGGGACAUCCUAGCUGGAGUAGCUAAGGACUAUAUAGUGUCACACAUAGGUUUAUUGAAAUACAAGAAUCAAAUCUGCGUUCCGAUGGACACUGAGAUCAGACGAGCGAUUCUAGAUGAAUCUCAUACUAUCCCUUAUUCUCUACAUCCAGGCACCACAAAGAUGUACCAGGAUCUGAAAGCCAUGGCCUGAGAUGAAGAGGGAUGUGACUGAGUACGUGGCGAAGUGCCUGACAUGUCAGCAGGUUAAGGCAGAGCAUCAAAGACCAGUAGGGUUGUUACAGUCUCUCGAUAUCCCAUAGUGGAUAUGGGAGGACAUCACGGUGGAUUUCGUGGUAGGAUUGCCCAGGAUAGUGGGCCAGCACGAUUCAAUUUGGGUCAUCGUGGAUUGGUAUACGAAAUCAGCUCACUUUCUACUAGUGAGGACAAAUUUCUUGGUUAACCAUUAUGCAGAUCUCUAUGUGAGAGAGAUAAUACGCCUUCAUGGGACUCCGAGGUCUAUCGUGUUUAAUAGGGACCCUGUCUUUACUUCCAAGUUUUGGGGAGGUUUACAGAAGGCAAUGGGUACACAACUGAUGUUCAAUACAACUUAUCAUCGUCAGACCGAUGGUCAUUCUUAGAGGACUAUCUAGAUACUGGAGGACAUGCUAAGAGCAUGUGUAUAGGACUUUGAAGGUAACUAGAGUAAAUAUUUGCCUAUGAUAGUGUUUUCCUAUAAUAACAGCUAUCAGUCGACUAUUGGAGUGGAACCUUAUGAGAUGAUGUAUGGUUGGAAGUGCAGAUCGCUCGUUCACUGGGAUGAGAUGGGUGAGAGGAAAUAUUUGGGUCCAGAAGCAGUUCAGAGGACCACUCAAGCUAUUGAAAAGAUUAGAGCUUGGAUGCUCGCGUCUAGAGUAGACAGAAGAGUUAUUCAGACCCAAAGUGGAGGAACGUGGAGUUCCAAGUGGGAGACUAUGUCUUCCUUAGGGUUUCACCACUGAGAUGGGUGAAGAGAUUCGGGAAGAAGGGAAAUCUGAGCCCUAGGUUUGUUGGACCAUUUGAGAUCUUGGAGAGGAUCGGUCAGGUGGCCUAUAGGUUGGCUUUACCCCUUGCACUAUCUAGUGUGCACAACGUAUUUCAUAUUUCCAUGAUGAGGAAGUGUGUCUCAUAUGAGAAUCAUGUAUUGAGUUACGAGGAUUUGGAACUGGAGACAGAUUUGUCCUAUGAGGAGCAACCAGUUCAGAUUUUAGACAGGAAGGAUAAUGUCCUGAGGAACAAGACUAUACCUUUAGUUAAGGUAUUAUGGAGGAAAAACAAGGUCAAGGAAGCAACCUGGGAGCUGGAGGCAGAUAUGCAAAAUUAGUAUCUUGAACUGUUCAAGUAAAAUUUCAAGGACGAAAUUUUUGUAAGGACAAGAUAGUUCUAACAUCCCAAAUUACCUAAUAAGGCUUAGGGCCUUGAUUAGGGGGCCAGGAUGGAAAUUUAUGGAAAUUAUAUGUUUAUGUGAUAUGUAUGCGUGUAAGUAUGUGAUUAUGUGAGUUAUAUGAUAAUAUGAUUAGAUAUGCAUGUUUAGGUGUAUUAAAUAUGAAUGUGGGCCCGUUUCUUAUUAGAAAGGAAAAUUUCGUAAUUUGGCCAAUUAUUGGUAUAUUUGGAAUAUAUGUGAUAUAUGUAUGAGACCACAUUAUUAUGUGGAUAUAUUUGGGUUACUCAGCACGAGACGGUCCUAGAGAGCUAGUUAGCGAGAAAGUCACAACGGGACCUAAUACCUGACUCAGGGUGAGUCAAGGGGUAUUUUGGGUAUCUAGUACAUUACCAGGUUAUCGGGUAACGGGAAUAAAUAUUUGAGGAUAUAUUUGGAGUUAGUGAGAUUAGGAGGGAAUAUAAGGGAUUUUGACCAUUUUGACUCUAGGACGUUUUUGGUACCCCGAGCCUUGGGAUUCACUUAAGGUUACUUAUCAUCUAAGUAAACCUCACAAACACUCAAACAGAAGAAAAAACACGUUCUCCUUAUCUCUCUUUCUCGGCUACACACUCUCUCCCUCAAAUUCCUGGGAAUUCUUGCGGUUUAAGGAGAAUCGAGACUAGUUUAGGCUCAAGAUUUCUUGGGGAAAGGCUUACCUCAAUUGGGGCAACAAAUGUAAUGAUUUCUAGCUCUAAAUAUCAUUAUGUUUGUGGUUUUUAUUUAAGUUUUUGGAGUUUUAGAAACUCAGUUCUGAGUUGGGAAUUUGAUAGGGUUUUGGCCAAGAUUUUGCUUGGGUUUUGAUGGUUUUGGGCUACUCAAUUGAUUGAGGACUUUACUUUUGAGUUUUAGCUAUGUUGGGAUAGGUUUUUGGUGGGAUUUGACUUGAGGAAAACAGAGAAAAAAUAGAGUUUUCAUGUCGAGUCACGGCUCUCGUGAACGCUGGGAGAAGUAGGUGCAUUUUUGGUCAUUUGAUUCGAGGUGCCUGUUAGGGCACGCCGCGACAUGUGUCAAAACAGAGGAGAGCUUAGGAUCUCUAACUUGGGGCAGGCUGAGACUCCUUUGUUUUAAGCCGCAGUGCUUGAAGGGUUUUGAGCCAUGGGAGGGUUUUUAAGUGCAGGAACUCAAACCUAAGGGCCCGGGGACGAUCCUGUUACCCGAUUUAGUAGAAUUAGAUAUCUCGGAGGCUAGGACUUAUUCUGGAAGCCUUUAUUCGAUCAUUUUGGAGAGAUUCUCUAUUGGUUGGGACUAGGUUAUUACUAGGGGCUCGGAACUAGGAUCACGGGGGUCGUUCUUAAGACACGUUACACUCGGACCUAAGGUAAGAAAAUUGCACCCAAUACGUGAUAUAUGUUAUAAGGGCUUGGCCCAAUUGUUGAUUAUAACUAUGAAUAGUGCUCGACCCCUGAGAAUGAAAGUGAUUUAGGUUAUGCUUGAACUCUCUGUAUCUGGAUAAUUGUUUAAUGAAUGCUUUUCUUGUUUACAUAGGUAGGGCUUGGCCCCGUUAAGGAACACGAUUAUUAUUGUGUUUGUGUUUGAUUGGUUAAGAUACCAUGAUUUAUAUGUAUGCAUACUUGUAUUGUCUGAAGUAUGCUUAUUUGCAUCUGUAUCUAUUUGUCUGGUUAUCUGAAUGUCUGAUUAAAGCCUUGACUUAUUAAUCAAGGGCGGCAAUAGCGCGAUGCGCGCUGGUCAAGGGCUUAGGCCCAAUAAGGGACGUACUAUUACGUUGGUCGACCCUAUGGUCAUUGGAAAACAAAGCACUUGGCUAGCUAUAUGGAAAGUUACUCAGAGAUAAGGGCAUGGGCCCCAUGUGACUCUAUGGUCACAUAGCUAAGGCAUAGGGCCCCGGGUUGACUCUAUGGUCAUCUAUCAGGGCAGCGGGCCCCAAAAUGAUCCAAUGAUCAUUUAUUUGUAAUUAUACACAUGCAUGAGUAGGAUAUUACUUCUAGGCAUGCUAGAUAUGUAUUUGGAAUCUGUAUUUACUGUUCGUGCACAUGUUUAAGUUUUCUUGCUGAGCCUUGGCUCACGGGUGCUAUGUGGUGCGGGUAAGGGGAAAUGAAAACUAGACAAGCCAUGAGUUGGAGAGCUUCGGUGGCAGCGUGUACAUAUGUGGCUGCUCGUCCAUCAUGACCAAGGAUAUCUCAAAGAAACUAGAGUUGUAACACUUAUUUUCCCGCUUAGGCAAGCUGGUUGUAACUUUUGAUUGUAUAUACCUUUUCAAACAUUUGUUUGUAACAUUUUUGGAUCCCAUGUUUGUAUUAAACUUUUAAAUGAAAAGUCAACGUUUCCUUUGACCAAAAUUUUUAACCCUUGACAUUAACCUUAGUUACCCAUUUAUAACCAAACAACUUGAUUAGCAAGUCUGACACUAUUUAAAGUAAAUAGUGUAAUGGUCCUGGAUUUGAAGGACGUUAUAGGAAUCCAUACCAAACUAUUUCUUAAUGCCUUCUGAACCAUUCUCCCAGGUCAAACAAAGGAUCAUCGAAAAUUCCUGUGCCACAAGUCAUGCCGAGUUCCUCCAAAAACCGUCCUCUAUGGAAAAAUCAAUAGCUCUUCAUAAGUUUACCGUUCAAGCUCAAUUAAGACAUUAACCUUACCUUGGCAAGUCGCCCAGGCAUGAACCCAGAACAUCAGCAAAUGGCAUCCAAAGAAUGCAAAGAACUACAACAACAAGGUUUGAUUGAACCAACCACCUCAUCAUGGGCAUGCCAUCCAUUCUACGUCAAUAAGAGAUCAGAACAAGCUCGGGGAAAACAAAGAUUGGUCAUCAAUUACAAGCCCUUAAACGAAUUUUUGGCAGAUAAUAAAUUCCUCUGCCAAACAAGAAUUCCUUAUUUUCAAGCAUGUCAAAGGCUCAAAUAUUUUCAAAAUUCGAUCUAAAGGCAGGAUUUUUGCAAUUGGGUAUCAAACAAGAAGAUAGACCCAAAAUGGCCUUCUUCAUUCCAAAUCACCACUAUACGUAGAUUUUCCUUCCUUUUGGUCUCAAAAUAGCCCCAUCACUGUUCCAAAAGGUCAUGACUAGAAUCUACGACCCCAUUCUAGAUAUAGCCCUGAUCUACAUCGAUGAUAUAUUGCUCUUCUCACAAGAUGAACAAGCCCAUCACAAGCAACUAGCCCAGUUCAUCUCUCUCACAGAAGCCCACAGAGUCAUGUUAUCCGAAAAAAAGAUGCUCAUUGGACAAGCCCAAAUUGAGUUUCUGGGAAUGAAGUUUUUUAAAGGCCAAUAUGAGGCCCAACCUCACAUAGCCCAAGAAUUACUAAAGUUCCCUAAAAAAUACUUCACAAAGGUCCAUAUCCAAGAGUUCUUAGGAAGUGUAAAUUAUUUACGGGAUUUUGUCCCUCGGCUUUUGGAAAUGACAAGACCACUCAGUGACAUGCUUAAAAAUCAAACUCCACCAUGGUGACAAGAGCAAACUAUAGCAGAUAGAAAACUAAAGGGGAUGAUGAUGACACUACCACCUUUACAGAUUCUUUUUGAUGGAAAAAGAAUAUUGCAGACAGACAUUAGUGAUUGGUAUUGGGGAGCUGUCCUACUUGAACAGGAAAAGGCAGGGAAAAGGAAAAUAUGUGGAUACACGAGUGGCCACUUCAAAAACUCUCAGCUCCACUGUCAUUCUACCUUAAAAGAAAUAAUGGCAAUAAACAUGGGCAUUACAAAAUUCGAAUUCCAUCUGAUUGGUCAUGAUUUCUUGGUAGAAACGAACUUUGUCGCAUCAAAAAGAAUGAUCGGUCUAAAAAAAAAAAUCAAGACGACAAAUGUCCAACUUUUGAGAUUGGCAGUCUGGUUCAACAACUACUCUUUUGACAUUAAACACAUCUAAGGUAAAGACAAUACUGUGGCUGAUUUCUUAUCCAGAUCACCCCUGCUAUAAAUCUAGCCUUAGGAUGCUCACCAAAAACUAUCCCUGUCGUCUCCCAAAAAUCAUCACUUACCAUCCCAUUCAUACUCAUGAUGGAUUCUUCCUCUUUUACAAAACACAAUCAAUAUUUUCCACGGGAUGCAAAAAAUAUCCCUUCAAAGAAGUUCCACAAAUCAGAAAAAGAAAGAGAAACUCACAGAGCAAUCUUUCUUCAGAAUUUUAAGAUUUCCAAACUCAGACCUUCUAUACAAAAUGACUUUGGAAUCCAUCCAAAGUAUCCAUUUGCCCAAAUCCUACCUCUUCGAGAUGCUAUAUUUACACCAAAACCAGUACCUUGAUGAGUUUUCAGUACUUAAUAAAACCUUCCCAUGAAGGUUAUUGGAAGACAAAUCCAACGAUUUUAGAGAAGGACUAUUAUUCAACAAUGAUAGAAUCCCACCUUCAAUGUUGUUAAAAUUAUUUCUUGAAAGUCCAAGAUGAACAAGGCAUUUUGAAUAAGUCAUUUCGAAUGUUGGGAGAAUGGAAUUGAAGUAGUUACCUGAAAGGUAAAGUUCUCUAAGUGGAGUCAUGUUAUGAAGAACAUUUGUAGUUGAUCCAUCAAGCAAAUUUGUAGCGUCCCAAAAUUCUUAAUAGAAUUAAGUGCUUUGAUUAGUGUGCCACAAGGGCACGAGGGAUAAUUAUGAGUGAAUUAUUUGAUCAUUAUAUUAUUAUAUGAUUUAGAAUGUAUGAUUAUGUGUUUAAAGACAUGCUUUUGUUAAGGGCAGUUUCGUAAUUAUUGACCUGUUGAUGGCGUAUUUGUAAUUAUCAUGUGCUAUGCGCUUGAGACUACAUUACUAUGUGGAUAUAUAUGCGAUUUCCAGCAUGAGUGGAUUCGUUCGAGCGGUUGAAGCGGAAAAGUCACAAUGGAAGAAAAAAUGCUCGCAUUGGGUCGAGCCAAGUGGUAUUUUGAGAAAUUAAAUAUUUUGGGAUAAUAGAUAAGUGAAAUAAAUUGGUGGAAUGUAUGUGUUUCAUGGGUUAACUUAUUAAUUGGGAAUUAAUGGUGUAAUUUAAGGUUUAGUGGGAAUUUAAAGAUAAAUGACCAUUCUGCCCCUUCUGGUGCUUUUAGAAGUGAGUUAUGGGGAGGGGUAUAAUGGUCAUUUGACUAUAAAAAUAGAGGAAAAAUGAAAACUAAGGCUGAAGUUUCCUCAUUCACAUUCAAACACUUCCUCUCUCUCUUCUUCUUCUUCUUCUUCUUCUUUUUCUUCUUCAAGUUACCAAAAGAACACACACUCUCACACUUGACAAGCUAGAACCAAUGUCCUUUGAAUUUUUGAGGAAUUGUAGAAGAGAUUGAAGCCUUCAAAGUAGCAACCGCUCAGUCAUCUUCAAUCAAGCUAGGAUUUCAAACCACAGCGAGAGGUAUAAGGUUAUCUCUUUGUUCUUAACUUUUUUUUUAUUGUUCUUGAGUUAGUUGCUAGUUCUUAGAGGAUUUUUACAAACAUCUAAGUUUCUUUUUUAAAAUUCGUGACCCUAGGAUGUGUUAAUGUAUAUAUGGAUGCUAGAAACAUGAUUUCGGUUUGAUUUAUAACUUAAAUUCAUAUUGAAAACUAGGGAUUUGACUAAGUUUUGGAGUUUGAGGAGAAUUUGGGAGCUUGGACCUAAAUUCUUGAAUAUUGAGUUAGAAGCUGAAUUUGGGCAUUUGAUUGUUGCUAUUGGGUGCCCCAUAAGGUGUACAUCUGUUUGGUACACGAUUUCUGGGCUGAUUGCAGGUUUGGGGUGAUUUGUGGUCGAUUUUGGCUUGAGAAAUAGUAGGGAAAAUGGAGAUUUCUAGGUUUAUCGCGGUGGCACCGCAACCCUUUGGGUUGGCGCCAUAGCACAAAUGCAUUUUACUUAGAGAUUGUAAUGCACUUUGACUCCUAAGGCAUCGUGGCCCUUUGGGAUGGCAUCGCGGCUCAAUAUAGGUGUUCUAUAGGCGCCUCAGCAUCAACCCUGUUUUAUGUCACGAUUUUUCAGGAUUCGUAAUUAGACCAUAACUUUUGACCCCGAUGUCGGAUUUGGACAUUCUUUAUAUGGUCGGAAAGCUUGUAAAACAUUAUACAGCCCUAGAACCUAAUAAAAGUUUAUAUGUGAUUAUUUUGGAGUCGGAAUUGUGAGUAAGCUUGGUGUUAAUCAAUUUCGAUUGGUUUUGUUUAGGGUUGGCUAAGGACACUAGAACGGGAUCACACUUGGGUCAUUUUUUCACCAUUGCUGGAAACUAGGUAAGAAAAGUUGGCAUUUCAUGUAGAGCGGGCAUUGGCCGUAUUGUAUCUAGAAAUGAUUAUGAUCGUAUAAAUUGAAAUGAGCUAGGGUUGUGUAUCCUUAUUGCAUACUUUGUUUGUUGUGCUUAUUAGUAACUGAUUUAAUUAUGAGUAUGUGAUUAUUACCGUAACCUUAGUGCCGGGAGACGCACUUUGUUAAGUGAGUAUGGAGUUAUUACCGUAAGCUUAGUGAUGCACAUUAUUUGGUUUAUUUGGUGUUGAAUGUCUAUGUAGUCUUUGAAUAUAUGUGGCUAUGAAUUAUGAGUUAUGCGAAUUGUUAUUUACAUGGCUAACUUAUAUGUGAUAUGAUUUAUUAAAUAUAUGAAUUGUUAUAUAUACACGCUGCAAUUAUUAUGCAUGCUUAUUUGAACUUUUCUUGUCGGGCCUUCACGUGUGCGCUAUGGUGCAGAUAAGGGAAAUGAGAAAGUCAACCAGCCAUGAGUUAGAGGGCAUUGGAGCGGUGCAUACAUGUUCGACCUGCUCGGUUGCCACAGUCAAGAUACCGUUAUAUGAGAGAUUUCAGAAGCAACACCCUCCAACCUUUGAGGGAGGCCCAGAUCCAUUUAGGGUUGAGCAGUGGAUAAGUAUGAUCACCUCUAUCCUUGAUUUUUAGAGGGUGGUGGGUAAUGAUAAGGUGACCUGUGCCACGUAUAUGCUGCAGGAUGAUGCUCAAAUUUAGUGGGAGGUAACCUCCUGAACUCUUAAUGUAACUGUGAUGAAUUGGGAAGAGUUUAAGGAGUUGUUUAAUGAGAAGCAUUAUAAUGAUGCAGUUCGAACAACGAAGAUGGACACAUUUGUAAAUUUGAUUCAGGGAAACAUAUUAGUGAUAGAGUACGCUUUGAAGUUCGAUAGGUUGGCCAAGUUCACCUCUGACUUGGUGCCAACUGAUGUGAAUAAAAAUGAAAGGUUUGCCCGGGGGCUAAACUCUAUGAUAGCUUAGGAUGUCAAGAUUACCUCUGUCCCUGGAGUGACCACUUAUGCUCAGGUAGAAGAGAAGACCCUUACUGCUGAGGGCAUGGGAACAAGAUAUGGAAGGAGGGCGCUUCUAGGCAUGAUGCACGGAGGGUGGUAUCUCCAUUUACUGGGUCUAGUAGAGGCGGAGGCCCUACUGAUCAGAAGAGGUAGGUCGAAGACACAUUCAACACCCCUAGACCAGAGAAGAGGAUUUGAGGUGCUCAAAGUAAAAGAGGCAUUUUUCUUAAAUUUGAUUUGUUGAAGGCGUAUUUGUAAUUAUUAUGUGCUACGUGCUUGAGACCACAUUAUUAGGUGGAUAUAUAUGCGAUUUCCAACAUGAGUUGAUCGUUCGAGCGGUUGAAGCGGAAAAGUUACAAUGGGUGGGUACAAGAUAUGGAAGGAGGGUGCUUCUAGGAGCGAUGCUCGGAGGGUGGUAUCUCUAUAUACUGGCUUUGAUAGGGGCGAAGGCCCCACUGAUCAGAAGAGGAAGGUCAAAGACACAUUCAUCACCCUUGGACCAGAGAAAAGGUUUUGAGGUGCUUAAGGUAAAAUAGGCAUUUUUCGUAAUUUUGAUUUGUUGAGGGCGUAUUUGUAAUUAUUAUGUGCUAUGUGCUUGAGACCACAUUAUUAUGUGGAUAUAUAUAUAUAUGCGAUUUCCAGCAUGAGUGGAUCCGUUCGAGCGGUUGAAGCAGAAAAGUCACAAUGAGAAAAAAAAAUGCCCGGCUCAGGUCGAGCCAAGAAGUAUAUUGAAAUUUUCAAUAUUUUGGGAUAAUUGGGUUGGCUAAGGACGCUUGAACAGGAUCACACUUGACCCAUUUUAUCACCAUUGUUGGAAUCUAGGUAAGAAAAGUUGGCAUUGCAUGUAGAGCAGGCAUUGGCCCUAUUGUAUUUAGAAACGGUUAUGACCGUAUAAGUUGCAAUGAGAUAGGGUUGUGUAUCCUUAUUGCAUACUUUGUUUGUUAUGCUUAUUAGUAAUUGAUUUGAUUGUGAGUUUGUGGUUAUUACUGUAAAAUUAGUGUUGGAAGAUGCACUUUGAUCAGUGAGUAUGUGGUUAUUACUGUAAAGCUUGGUGCCGGGAGACGCACUUUAUUAGGCAUCAACUAUACAUAUGGUGCUUGGUAAUGCAAAUUACUUGGUAUAGUUGGUGUUGAAUGUCUAUAAAGUAUUUGAAUAUA